GGUCUCGAAGUUACCUCACCUAUUUCAUCACUAUACUUUUCUAACAAGGGAACGGAAACCCAAGAUAUAAGACAUCAGGGGGAAAGUGGCACCAUGGAUAUUGGAGAGAAAUCCCAUGUAUGUCUUCUUUUGAAAAGUAUCUGUUCAUGUCCUUUGCUCACUUUGGGUUUGUUUUUUUCUUGUAAAUUUUUUUAAGUCCCUUAUAGAUGCUGGAUAGUAGACCUUUGUCAGAUGCAGAGUUUCCAUAUAUUUUCUCCCAUUCUUUAGUUUGUCUGUUUACUCUGCUAAUAGUUUCUUUUGCUG
rnacentral:lncRNA from 1 species